UUGGACCUGAUAUCAAACAAGACU
rnacentral:rRNA from 1 species